UUGGUUAAGUUAGAAAGGGCGCACGGUGGAUGCCUUGGCACUAGGAGCCGAAGAAGGACGGGACUAACACCGAUAUGCUUUGGGGAGCUGUACGUAAGCGUUGAUCCAGAGAUUUCCGAAUGGGGGAACCCACUAUCUUUAGUCGGAUAGUAUCCUUACGUGAAUACAUAGCGUGAGGAAGGCAGACCCAGGGAACUGAAACAUCUAAGUACCUGGAGGAAGAGAAAGAAAAAUCGAUUUCCUGAGUAGCGGCGAGCGAAACGGAAAGAGCCCAAACCAAGAAGCUUGCUUCUUGGGGUUGUAGGACACUCUAUACGGAGUUACAAAAGAAAGUUAUAAAUGAAGCGGUCUGGAAAGGCCCGCCAAAGACGGUAACAGCCCGGUAGUUGAAAUAGCUUUCCCUCCAGAGUGGAUCCUGAGUACGGCGGAACACGUGAAAUUCCGUCGGAAUCCGGGAGGACCAUCUCCCAAGGCUAAAUACUCCCUAGUGACCGAUAGUGAACCAGUACCGUGAGGGAAAGGUGAAAAGCACCCCGGAAGGGGAGUGAAACAGUUCCUGAAACCGUGUGCCUACAAGUAGUUAGAGCCCGUUAAUGGGUGAUAGCGUGCCUUUUGUAGAAUGAACCGGCGAGUUACGAUUUGUUGCAAGGUUAAGCGGAAAAAGCGGAGCCGUAGCGAAAGCGAGUCUGAAUAGGGCGCAUAAGUAACAGGUCGUAGACCCGAAACCAGGUGAUCUACCCAUGUCCAGGAUGAAGGUAAGGUAAUACUUACUGGAGGUCCGAACCCACGCACGUUGAAAAGUGCGGGGAUGAGGUGUGGGUAGCGGAGAAAUUCCAAUCGAACUUGGAGAUAGCUGGUUCUCUCCGAAAUAGCUUUAGGGCUAGCCUCGAGGUAAAGAGUCAUGGAGGUAGAGCACUGUUUGGACUAGGGGCCCUUCUCGGGUUACCGAAUUCAGAUAAACUCCGAAUGCCAUGUACUUAUACUCGGGAGUCAGACUGCGAGUGAUAAGAUCCGUAGUCGAAAGGGAAACAGCCCAGACCACCAGUUAAGGUCCCCAAAUAUAUGUUAAGUGGAAAAGGAUGUGGGGUUGCUUAGACAACCAGGAUGUUGGCUUAGAAGCAGCCACCAUUGAAAGAGUGCGUAAUAGCUCACUGGUCGAGUGACCCCGCGCCGAAAAUGUACCGGGGCUAAACAUAUUACCGAAACUGUGGAUGAACCUCUUUAGAGGUUCGUGGUAGGAGAGCGUUCUAAGGGCGGUGAAGUCAGACCGGAAGGACUGGUGGAGCGCUUAGAAGUGAGAAUGCCGGUAUGAGUAGCGAAAGAAGGGUGAGAAUCCCUUCCACCGAAUAUCUAAGGUUUCCUGAGGAAGGCUCGUCCGCUCAGGGUUAGUCGGGACCUAAGCCGAGGCCGAUAGGCGUAGGCGAUGGACAACAGGUAGAGAUUCCUG
rnacentral:rRNA from 1 species